GAUGAACGCUGGCGGCGUGCCUAAUACAUGCAAGUCGAGCGAACAGCCGAGGCUUUUGCCUCUCUGACGUUAGCGACGGACGGGUAAGUAACACGUGACUAACCUAUAUAUAAGACUGAGAUAACUUCGGGAAACCUGAACUAAUACCGGAUAAUAUAUUCAGCCUCAUGGUUUAAUAAAGAAUUACGGUUUUAAUGUUACUUAUACGGAGAAUCGCGCCGCUUUAGAUAGAUUGGAAGGCAACGGCUUACCAAGGCAACGAUGCGUAGCCGACCUGAGAGGGUGGGCGGCCACACUAGAACUGAGCCGCGGUCCAGACUCCUACGGGAGGGAGCAGAAGGGAAUCUACCGCAAUGCGCGGAAGCGUGACGGGACAACGCCGCGUGAGUGACAGGAGUCUUCGGAUCGUAAAUCUCUGCUAUUAGGAAAGAACAAUUGUGUAAGAAACGAGGCACUGCUUGACGGUACUUAAUCAGAAAGGCACGGCUAACUACGUG
rnacentral:rRNA from 1 species